AUUUUGAACAACACCAAUUAAUGCCCACAUCAGAUCUUUCCAUAAGCAAAAAAGGAGGGGGGUGGGGGUGGGGGUGGGGGGGUUUAUUUUGCCACCAUCAAAUCCCACUUGUAUUUUGUCUCCUUUUGAGUCCAGCUUGAGACUUCACUAAUUGAUAGCUAUAACACAGUUAACUGGUACCCCAGAAUCUGUGCGCUAAAUUAAUUGCUUUUGCAUUUGAAUUUUCUUUGUAAAGCUUCUUUCUGCCAAUUUGAUAGCGACUUGCCAGUUCUUCUUCCUGUAAUUCCAAGUUUGGAUUAUGGGGUAAUCUUUUACUGGGCACUUUCUAGCUUUCUUUCAAUUUCUGAGUUUCUGAUUUAAAUCAAUACCAAACAGAGGCUUAAUCUUGGAAUUUUAGAAAGGGUUUCUUGCUUGAUUACAGAGCAUAUUUUUCUUGGUUUUCUCUACUCAAAUUGUCAUAUUUUUGGCUCUGGUAUUAUACUUGUUGAUGGGAAAGUGGGUGUUCUUGUGUAUCGCAAUUAUGUGCUUGCUUAUUCUUUUUUCACUGGAGACCUGUAUGGCUAGUGUUCAAAAUAAAGGCAAAUUGAAGCCAGGUUUUCAGGGAUCUCAAAUGUUUUGGAUCGACAAUGAUGGGUUGUUUCUAGUAUCCAACAAUUCAAAUUUUUCUUUUGGAUUCUCCACUACCCAAGAUGUCACUUUGUUUCUCCUUGUCGUCGUUCACAAGGACAGUUCAACUAUAGUGUGGUCUGCUAAUAGAGGCUCCCCAGUCGGAAAUUCAGAUAGUUUCGUGUUUGAUGAUAAUGGGAACGCUUAUUUACAACGCGGUGGAUCCACAAUUUGGUCCACGGGUACCUCUAACAAAGAUGUUUCUGCAAUGGAAUUGCUUGACUCGGGAAAUCUGGUUUUGCAUGGGAAUGAUGGAAGUGUAGUUUGGCAGUGUUUUGACCAUCCCACAGAUACUCUACUUCCAAACCAGGAAUUUAGUGAAGGGAUGAAACUUGUAAGUGAUCCUGGAUCCAAUAACUUAAGCUAUUCCCUUGAGAUUAAGUCUGGGGAUAUGAUUCUCUCCACGAGCUUCAAACGUCCACAGCCAUACUGGGCUGCGGGAAGGGAUGCACGAAGAACCAUCAAUAAAGAUGGCAAUAAUGUCACUUCAGCAACUCUUAAUGCUAAUUCUUGGAGAUUUUAUGAUGGAAAUAAGGUCUUGCUCUGGCAAUUUAUUGUUGACGAUAAUAUUGCAAAUGCAACUUUGGUUGCUGUUUUGGGAUCUGAUGGUUUCAUUACUUUCGUCAAGCUUCAAGGAGGUUCUACUAAUCCCUCCUCAAUAAGAAUACCUGAGGAUCAGUGCAGCAGACCGGCAGCUUGUGAUCCCUAUUAUGUUUGUUAUACUGGCAACAAGUGCCAGUGUCCAUCAGCACUUCCCUCUUGCAAAUUUGGAGCUCUCCCUGCAUGCAAUAAUUCACAGGAUUCUGUGGAGCUUGUAAGUCCAGGUGAUGGCCUCAGCUACUUUGCACUUGGGUUUGUCCAACCAUUCUCAAAAACCGAUUUACAAGGCUGCAAGGAUUCUUGCCUUAGAAAUUGCUCUUGUGGCGCUAUGUUCUUUGACAGCGAUUUGGGGAAUUGUUUCCUGUUUGAUCAGAUGGGAAGCAUGCAAGGAUCCCUCAACAGCGCUGGCUAUGCUUCUUACAUCAAAAUCUCCAUUAAUGGAGGAAACAGGAGAGGCAGUGACAAGAAGCGCUUUCCACUAGUCAUUAUCAUUGUAAUUUUGAUAGUAUUUGUUAUGCUGAGUUUGCUUUUAGCUGGAUUUUAUUACCGCAAGAAGAACAAGAAAGUGCCCACAUACCAAAAAGAGAGCUCGGAAGAGGACAAUUUCUUGGAAGGUUUAUCUGGGAUGCCAGUCCGUUUCAGAUAUAAAGAUCUUGAGAUUGCAACAAGUAACUUCACUGUGAAACUAGGGCAGGGAGGGUUUGGUUCAGUUUAUCAGGGGACUCUCCCUGAUGGGACUCGAGUGGCUGUGAAAAAGUUGGAAGGUAUUGGUCAGGGUAAGAAAGAAUUUAGGGCUGAAGUUAGUAUCAUAGGCACCAUCCAUCAUCUCCAUCUGGUGAGGCUCAAAGGCUUCUGUGCUGAAGGAAGCCACCGGCUUCUUGUAUACGAGUACAUGGCAAACGGAUCAUUAGAUAAAUGGCUUUUCAGGAAAAACAAAGCAGAGUUGAUGUUGGAUUGGGAUACAAGAUACAGUAUUGCAGUGGGUACGGCUAAAGGCCUGGCUUACCUCCACGAGGACUGUGAUGUAAAGAUAGUUCACUGUGAUAUCAAACCUGAAAACGUUCUUCUUGAUGAACACUUCAUGGCCAAAGUUUCAGACUUUGGCCUGGCUAAGCUUAUGACUAGAGAGCAGAGCCGUGUUUUCACGACAUUAAGGGGCACCAGGGGGUACCUUGCCCCGGAGUGGAUCACAAAUUACGCCAUAUCAGAGAAGAGCGAUGUUUAUAGCUAUGGAAUGGUGUUGCUUGAAUUGAUCAGUGGCAGAAGAAACUAUGAUCCUGCAGAAAGUUCAGAGAAAUCCCAUUUUCCAUCCUUUGCUUUCAAGAUGAUGGGAGAAGGAAAAUUGAAGGACAUCAUUGACACUAAACUGAAGAUGGAUGUAGAGGACGAGAGGUUUGCCACAGCAAUCAAAGUCGCUUUGUGGUGUAUACAGGAUGAUAUGUACCUCAGGCCGCCAAUGGCAAAAGUAGUGCAAAUGCUUGAGGGGGUCUAUCCUGUCCUCCCACCACCAACUGCGUCUCAACUUGGUUCUCGAAUGUUCUCGAAUUUGUUCAAAUCAAAUAGUGAGGAGGGCACUUCAUCGGGACCGUCGGACUGUAAUAGUGAUGCUUAUCUUUCGGCAGUUCGCCUUUCAGGUCCUAGAUAGAUGAUGAGUCAUUGACAUGUACAAGGUUUUCAUAUUUUUGUCGGUUUUCUUGUAUACUUGUUGAUUAGUAGUUCAAAACUUUGCAAUACAAGUCACAGUGAGAGCCCAAUAUUCCAAUGUUGCAAAAUAUAAGAGUCGAGAUGAGAACCAUGUUCCCUCCAUCUCCGGUUACGCGACUAAGUUGGGAAUCUAGAGCAGGGCAUUUCAUAAUCUACUUUUGUGUACAAAUAAGAUGAAAACAAGAGAACAAUGACAAAAUUGGAUAAGAAUAACCAAAGGACG
rnacentral:lncRNA from 1 species